rnacentral:rRNA from 1 species
UACGAAGGGGGCUAGCGUUGUUCGGAUUUACUGGGCGUAAAGCGCACGUAGGCGGAUCGAUCAGUCAGGGGUGAAAUCCCAGGGCUCAACCCUGGAACUGCCUUUGAUACUGUCGAUCUGGAGUAUGGAAGAGGUGAGUGGAAUUCCGAGUGUAGAGGUGAAAUUCGUAGAUAUUCGGAGGAACACCGGUGGCGAAGGCGGGUCUCUGGGCCGUAACUGACGCUGAGGAGCGAAAGCGUGGGGAGCAAACAGG